ensembl:lncRNA
CAGGGGUGGAGGAGUGGUUGGGUUGGGGUGCAGGUGGAGGUGUAUCAGGGUAGGGGUGAAGGAGGGGUGGAGGAGUGGUAGGGUUGGGGUGCAGGUAGAGGUAUAUCAGGGUAGGGGGAAGGAGGAGUGGUAGGUUUGGGAUGCAGGUGGUGGCGUAUCAGGGUAGGGGUGAAGGAGGGGUGGAGAAGUGGUAGGGUUGGGGUGCAGGUGGAGGUGGAGGCGUAUCAGGGUAGGGGUGAAGGAGGAGUGGUAGGUUUGGGAUGCAGGUGGAGGCGUAUCAGGGUAGGGGCGUAUCAGGGUAGGGGUGAAGGAGGAGUGGUAGGUUUGGGAUGCAGGUGGAGGCGUAUCAGGGUAGGGGUGAAGAAGGGGUGGAGGAGUGGUAGGGUUGGGGUGCAGGUGGAGAUGUGUCAGGGUAGGGGUGAAGGAGGGGUGGAGGAGUGGUAGGGUUGGGAUGCAGGUGGAGGCGUGUCACGGUAGGGGUGAAGGAGGAGGAGGCUUC